rnacentral:rRNA from 1 species
CCUACGGGAGGCAGCAGUGGGGAAUAUUGGACAAUGGGGGCAACCCUGAUCCAGCAAUACCGCGUGUGUGAAGAAGGCCUGAGGGUUGUAAAGCACUUUCAAUUGUGAAGAAAAGCUAGUGGUUAAUAGCCAUUAGCCUUGACGUUAACUUUAGAAGAAGCACCGGCUAACUCCGUGCCAGCAGCCGCGGUAAUACGGAGGGUGCAAGCGUUAAUCGGAAUUACUGGGCGUAAAGCGUGCGUAGGCGGUUUAUUAAGUCAGAUGUGAAAGCCCCGGGCUUAACCUGGGAACUGCAUUUGAAACUGGUCAACUAGAGUAUGGUAGAGGAAAGUGGAAUUUCUGGUGUAGCGGUGAAAUGCGUAGAUAUCAGAAGGAACAUCAAUGGCGAAGGCAACUUUCUGGACCAAUACUGACGCUGAGGUACGAAAGCGUGGGUAGCAAACAGGAUUAGAUACCCUGGUAG